UUUUCUUUAACAUUGUCAAACAAUCCAAAAGAAAUAUAACUUUAAAAGAAAAGGAAAAGUCACUCAUAAUAUAAGAUUGAAUAAACAUUUCACUGUCCAAUGAAUCAAACCGAUUCUUUUAGAAAUGAAUCAAACGGCUCUCAUUGUGAAUGAAUCAUUGAAUAGUUGACUUCACUCAGGCCUACACGAGCAGCGUCUUCCUUCGGAUUUGUUUGGAUCAUUUUUGAUGGCAAAACAGCACAAAUGUUUUAAAUUUCCUCUGCCUGCACCUGAGGCCCUCAAGAUCUUAGAAGAAGAGGAUCACGUGUUUCUCUUCUGGAAGGGGCUUUGAGGUGUAUGUGCAUGACAGUGUCACCAACUCCACCAAGUGUUUAGGCAACACAACAGAGACGUUCUUCAGAAUCAACAGCCUGCUGGCAGGUCAUAACUACACGUUCUCGGUGCGGGCGCGAUGUCUACUCAG